UCGACUACCCAGCAGUUGAAGGGCAUUCAGAGCGCAGAAAAAUAUCGGACAGUAAAACUGAUUUAAGUGAAGACAAGUUCACCGUUACAACUAUAACUAUAUAUAACUGUAUAAUAAUAUUUAAUCAUAUACCCUAUGGACAAGAACCAAAUAUUCGUAUAAUUUCACCUCUGAUGUAGUCAAGAGUCAAAAGUAGAGGUGGAUUUUGAUAAAUGCAUAUUGCUUACAGGUAUGCAUUUACAUAUGCAUAUACUCCUCUCAUCACAACUUCAUCAAUAAGAAUACAGUGAAGGAGACAUUAUGAUCAUACCGGUAUGUAGUAGUGGAAAUUAACAGAAUAUCUUCAUGUCUAAAGAAAUGGAAGAAAAUGGCAAUAUGCCAUUGAGUGACAAUUCCAAGGAUUUAGUUCCAAUGAAACAAUACAACACAAUAAGCUCCAAGGAAGGAUCGGAUACAGACAACCUAGUCGAGACGAAGCACAGAGUGUCAUUGAAUGUCGCUGUUAAGCUGAGGAUUGCAGCCAUUGCCACAUCAUUCUUGUCCAUCUUUGUUACACUUGCCCUUGGUGUGGCUACCUUAGUUAUUGGUUUCCAAGAAAACAGUUCUGCUUCAUUUGGCUUUGCAUUGACAGCAUUAUUAGAUGUGAUGUCAUCAGCAGUCGUGUUGUGGAGAUAUUAUGGUGGAGCCGAAAAGGCCCUUUACUCUCCAAAGAGAGAAUUUAUAGCUUGCAUUGUCCUAGGAGUCCUCUUUAUAGUCAGUUCAUUUACCAUUACUACAAAGUCUGUUAUUUCAUUGGCCAAUAUUUCUGUUCCAAGUAAGAAUCCAUCAGUAUAUCAGCUGGCCCUGAUAAAUGGGAUUCUCUGCAGUAUUCUUGCAAUAGUUAAGUUCAUCCUGGGGAUUAAACUAGAGAGCAAAGCGCUUACAACUGAUGCAUUUAACUCUCUAGCAGGUGCUUUAUCAGCAUUUGCAAUUUUUGUGACUUCUGUGACGUAUGAAGAAAACAGUCGUGUCUGGUAUCUGGACUCUGUAAUAGGCAUAUUUAUUGCUGUUUUCCUGCUUAUAUAUGGCACUAGGUUAUUAUGGGAACAAGAGAAGAUAAAUAACUACAGUACGUACUGUGGAACUAACUGUGCUUGCUGUAAACAUAAGUAAAACAUUGCCAAAGCUGUCUCAAUUUUUCAAUGAAGGCAUUGUGUACUUCACAGAAGGCUUAAUACCACUACCCCACUGAACAUAGUUUGGAAAAGCUACCCACCAAUGGCCACCAUCCAUCUGUCUGUCCAUUCGUUCAUUCAUCUGUCCAUGCGAUAACUCAAAUACUGGUUGACAGAUUGGGCUCAAAAUUUAAUGAUUGAAGCUUUAUGGGCAUUGCACAUCUGCUGAAGAAUGAAUUGCCAAUAUUGCCACUCAGUUUAAAAUGGCUGCCAUUUGUAGUGAAUAUGUAGCCUUUGAUAACUCAAAUACCAGCUGAUGCAUUUGGUUUAGAUUUUGAUGCCUCAGGAACAUGGAACCUCUGCUUAAGAACUUU
rnacentral:misc_RNA from 1 species